rnacentral:rRNA from 1 species
CAGCAGUGGGGAAUAUUGGACAAUGGGCGCAAGCCUGAUCCAGCCAUGCCGCGUGAGUGAUGAAGGCCUUAGGGUUGUAAAGCUCUUUUGUCCGGGAAGAUAAUGACUGUACCGGAAGAAUAAGCCCCGGCUAACUUCGUGCCAGCAGCCGCGGUAAU